CGAGUUGUAGCCUCGUGUACGGGACAAGCGCCCCCCAACCA
rnacentral:tRNA from 1 species